rnacentral:rRNA from 1 species
AUUGAACGCUGGCGGCAGGCCUAACACAUGCAAGUCGAACGAGUGGCGGACGGGUGAGUAAUGUCUGGGAAACUGCCUGAUGGAGGGGGAUAACUACUGGAAACGGUAGCUAAUACCGCAUACCAUCGGAUGUGCCCAGAUGGGAUUAGCUAGUAGGGGGGGUAACGGCGCACCUAGGCGACGAUCCCUAGCUGGUCUGAGAGGAUGACCAGCCACACUGGAACUGAGGCACGGUCCAGCCUCCGACGGCAGGCAGCAGUGGGGAAUAUUGCACAAUGGGCGCAAGCCUGAUGCAGCCAGGCCGCGUGUAUGAGGAAGGCCGUCGGGUUGUAAAGUACUUUCAGCAGGGAGGCGUUACCCGCAGAAGAAGCACCGGCUAACUCCGUGCAAGCAGCCGCGGUAAUAC